rnacentral:rRNA from 1 species
UUACAUCCGGGGCUGCACACGUGCUACAAUGGCCGGCACAAAGGGAAGCCAAGCCGCGAGGCCGAGCCAAUCCCCAAAACCGGCCCCAGUUCAGAUCGGGGUCUGCAACCCGACCCCGUGAAGUCGGAUUUGCUAGUAACGGCGCAUCAGCUACGGCGCCGUGAAUACGUUCCCGGGCCUU